AAGAAAGAGGUGAUAUGAUCACUACAUACAAAAUAGUAACAGGAAUCGAUAAAAUUGAUAGGAAAAUUCCUGAGACCUGGAACUUCUGAACAAGAGGUCAUAGAUUUAAACUAAUGAAACAAAUCUGCUGGAUACAUAUAAGGAAAAUCACUUUUGUAAACAAAGUGGCAGACGGAACAAGUUAGGUGAGAAGGUGGAGGAUAUCAACACCUUCAGUAAUUUCAAAGCUUUAUAUGACAGUGCUGGGAAGACAGGACUCCAUGAGCGUAGCUCUCGUCCUGUAACUACAUCUUUGGUAAUUAUACUUGGGUAAUUACUGAGAAAUGGAAUACAGUACACCUCUUGGUGUAUAUAUCCCUGUAUUAUGAUAAUGCUAGGUAUGUCUUAUUUCUGGUGGUAGUAGAAAUGAAUCGGAAAGCAAAGGUCUAGCAUACUGAAGAGGAAUUGUCGUUCAGUCAGGCAUGUAAGGAAGCUAGGCAAGUACAAAGAGAAACUACAGAAAUAAACGGUCACCAGAGGGAGAUACUAGAGAGCUGGAAAUAAGUAACUCGGUGUGGGAAGAAAAGCGGAGAGAUAACAAUCGGGUAGAGAAAGAGAUCUGGGGAUUGACAUCACACUGAACCUGUUACCCAAAGCCCAUAUCAAAAAAAUUAUCAUCACUGGCAUAUGCUAGACUGGCCAAUACAAGAACUGCCUCUAGAAACUUGUGUAAGGAAUCAUUUAGAAUCCUGUACACCACAUAUGUCAGACCAAUCCAGAUGCAUGUGGCCCCAGCAUGAAGUUCAUAUCUAUUCAAACACAUGUUGAAGGUAGAAAACGUUCAAAGGUUUGCCACCAGGCUAGUUCCUGAGCCAAGUGGUAUGAGCUAUGAGGAAAGGCUACUGGAAUUAAAUCUCACAUCACUGGAAGACACAUGAGUUAAGGGAGACAUGAUUACCACCUACAAAAUUCUCAAGUGGAAUUGACAGGGUAGAUAAAAGACAGACUAUUCAGCACAGAUGGUACAUGAACAAGGAACGACAGGUGGAAAUUUAGUAUCCAGAUAUCCAGUAACCUAUACACCAGUUGAUUGAUGGCAGAGAGGCAGGACCAAGGAGCCAAAGCUCAACCCCUCCACUAGCACAACUAGGCAAGUACAGUACUUGCAAUGUGUAGACUAAUGCUUCUUGCUGACUGAUCGAGUAGCAGCAGCUUCAUCCUGGAAAGUGUGCAGAUAUCUGUGUAGUGUCUAUGAUUUAUACAUUAUGAAUGUAGGAGUAGCAGAUGUGGAUGCUUGAUGCAGCUGCUGCACUUUGUUUAGAAUUUAUAGGAAUAAUAGAUACAGUACUUUUGUUAAGCAGGUAAUUUGAAGUCUGUGUUGGUAAUUAAAUAUAAAAAAUUAGCUAAAUGGUGGAUGAAUGUUAUUGAGUAUAUUAAUGAAUGUACGGGGUAUGACAGUAGUUUGAUAAAAUAAAUGAUUGGUAUUGUAUAAAUGAUUUAGCAAUCCAAUAAAUGUUACUUGCAUUACUUGACAUUAAAGAUAUUGAUAUUAGAGAACCUUCUUGGGUAAUUGGGCACAUCUGAUAAUAAUAAUAAUUUGUCAAAUCUUGUAAAAUUUUAUAAUGUGAUUGAUUAGGCCCAAGAUAAAUUUUAACAAUAAAAUAGGUGUUAAUGUAAUGAGGGAAAUAUAAUUAUUGUACAGCGGUGUCAUCUGUUAUCAGAAGUAUUUAACAUUGUACACUUUAUGCAUCAUCUAGACUUUUGUAUAAUUCUGACUUUUUAAUUUAUAAUUCAUUACAAAAACCUUCCUCAUUAGCACAAACAAUAGAACUCUAAUAUAUAAAUAUUUUUUACCCAAAUCACACGAAAAAGUACAUUUUAAAUUAAAUAUUUUUAUGCAUCUCCAACACAAAUUACUAAAGCAUAUUGGUUCCAAAGUAUAAAAAAUUGCCCUUUUCAAGUGAUAGGUCUUUGGAUAAUACACAUUAUUAAUUUGGCUUGGGAUAAUGCUGACUAUACCCUCCCCCCCAUUUAGUUAAUUCAGACCUAUGCUUGAGAUGCCUGGAUAAUUUGGCUUUGUUUUAACUGAGUAAAUAUACAUUUUAAUCAGAAAAUUAAUUCCUAUAUGUAAAGCAAGUGAAAUACUAGAUGUGUGUGUGUGUAAUUUUGCUUCAAAACAUGGGGGGUACAGUAUUUAGCUACAAUGAUGUAAGGCAGGCUGUUAUUUCUUAAAAUACAGUACCUUAUAACUUUUGACUGCUUGAAUUUAUGCAGCCAAUACUCAAUAGCAAAGAAUUUCUUGUUGGAGUAGGCACCUAAUACUUUUACAUGAAUUUCAUUAGUUCAUUAUAUGAUGAUAGUUCCUAAGAGGGUAUUACUUAAGUGUUCAAUGCAGGCCAGACAAGCAGCAUUGAGCACAUUCCAAUGCUUUAAACAAUAAAGCUACCUCACUGGAGUCAGAAUUAAUUGAGGCUGCUUUAAUCAUUCAGAUUUGUUGUAUUUGCUUCCUUCAGAAAAUUGUUGAGGAUCUGAUUGCAGAGACUUCACAGUAGGUACGGUAUUGUAUUUUUUUAAUAAAUCCGUGUACUAUCACAUGCAGCAUUUUGGGCAUAUAUUAAGAUUGUGUUACUGUAUUUCUUUACUUUCCAAAAUCUCAAAUGAUGUAAAAAACUCAUUUACCAGUUAUAUCAUCAGAAUUAAGUAAAUAAACACUGAUAAAAAUGACAACAGAUUAAUGCUGUCCACAUUCAUAAAUAUUACGUAUUACCAAGCACUGAAAAGUGACUUAUGUAUUAUGUAAUAAGCUGUAUAUGUAUUAAAUACAGGUACUGGUAUGUAUAAUAAAUGUUUGAAUAUGAUAUUCAGUAAUAUUUUUUUUAUGAAUUCAUUAUCCAUGAAUAAAUGCAUUUUACAAGUAAGUGUGUUGUAUUAACCAGUCUCGAUGCUACCUGUACUGUAAUUUUGUCUUUAAUAAAAUAAUUAUUACUAUAGUUAGAUUUUAUGAUUAUGUAAUUAUUUUUUACUGUCCUGGUCAUAACCUUGUUGUGGAGGGGUCUUGCAUACUGUUUACCAGGUUGGCAGGUUGCUUAUUUUAGCCUUUCUUCUAGUAAAAGGUAUAAGAACCUGACCAAAUAUGUCCAAAAUCUUAUUUAUGUUUGUAGUGUGAAUGUUGAUUGUGGAGUAAAGCAUCAGAACCUCAACAGGGCAAGACUUUUAUGCUGCAAGUCAUCAUCUUGCCCCUUCACACUGACUUGUGUGGUUGGGGUACAACAGGCCUAGCAUGAAUCUGGCCCCUCUGCAAGUUUUGUUCUUCCCUUAAUCCUGAUGGCUCCAAGAGUUCUGUUGUACUGAUCCUUGACUCGGCAUCUGCCUCACCCCCUCCCCCAAUAUUUCUGCACGCUGCAGUUGCCCUGUUCAGCCUGGUUUUUGUGGUUGCAUUCGUUAACUGUUCUUUAGAAAUUCCCAUUUGGUUUUUAAACUUGCUUUCUUAUUAUGGAUCUACCCAUUGAGCCCGCUCUCGCUAUUUGUGAGUUUGAGGGAGGGAGUUUGUUGGCUUUGCUGCGAACAUUUUCUGCCUCUGCCAGAGUCCUGUUGUGUUUAGACCCCUAGGGAGGUCUAUGUCUAAUCCUGCUUCUGAGCUAGAUUUAUCAGUCAUCUGCCCCUUUCUGAACUAGGUUUGCUCAGGUUCAGCAUUCAUGUCUUUGUGCUCAAUUGGGUACCCUGGAGUUGGCUUAUACAGUAUUGUACUAUGUUUAACAACCCAGAAUUAGUGGUGUUGGCAAAUUCCACUCUGGUUUCAUCAACACCACCACCUCUUCUGUGGUUUGCCCUGCUUCUGUUUCUUACCCCUCACUGACUGCUGACACUGACAUUUUUUCUUUAUUUCAUAUCUAUGGAGCUGUAUUUUUUGUCUACAUUCUAUGAAAAUUAAUUAAAAAUAUUGUACUGAAAAUAAUAAAUUAUUUUUAGUUUACUAUUUUUAAAAGUAAAAUAUGAUCCACACCUUCGAUAUAAUGUUACAAAAUACCUAAAAAUUACUGCCAUAUUUACCAGUAAUCAUAUUGACCCAAUUUUAUAUUUACAAAGUUUCUCUUGUGAAAAUAGCAAACAGGAAAAUAUGGUUUACUUUUACAUUUUAUUUGUAUUUUUAUAGUCAUGAAAAUAUAUAGAAAUGGAAUUUGUGCCUCUAUUCUCACACUAUUUAUAGCAUUUUUACUUUUUGGAAAUAUAUUAGUUCAAGGAAUAAUAACCAGCAGAAAAUUCACAAUAUAAUUCUGUAGGACAUUUCUACCCCUUCAUCCUGUAAACUGAAUGAUUCCUGUACAUGUAAACCAAAAAUAAACUUUAUAUUUUAAUAUAUAUAUAUAUAUACUGUAUAUAAUAUUUUAUAAAUACUUGAAAAUUCCAUAUACCCUGGCUGGGUAUAUGGGUACCACGGCUCUGUUUUGCCUCAUGCAAGUGGAGGUUCUAGUCCCAGCCAGGGCAUUUGGAAUUUUCAAGUCUUUAGACAGUCUAUGCCUAUGACCUUGCAGAAUAGCAUAUUGCUAUAAUAUCACACUUCGAAAGUGCAAGUAAUUAAUUCAGCAGUCACAUGGGAAUCACAUCUCAAGAUAUAGGUAAAUGACUAAAAUUAUUACACACAGAAAUGACACUAACGUGAUGUAUCCAAUGAACAAAUCCACAAGGGCCGUGACGAGGAUUCGAACCUGCGUCCGGGAGCAUCCCAGACACUGCCUUAAUCGACUGAGCUACGACAGGGUUAAAAAGAGUUGAAACCAAAGUUCUUCUGAACUUAAUGGAUCAGUGUCCAGUGAACUUACUGGAUGUCAGUGUCUGGUAUGCUCCCGGACGCAGGUUCGAAUCCUCGUCACGGCCCUCGUGGAUUUGACUAAAAUUAUCUUCUGGAAGAUAACACCAUUUAUAUGUUUGUGUUUAUCUUAUUUUACUUGCAAGAAUAGACAUAUGCUUGUGUAUUGUAACUUGUGUGCACAGCUGUGCGGGAGUUUGUAAGUGUAAUUAUCCAAGUGUAUUUACAGAAUGAGAGCCUAUGACCAUGAGUGUGUGCACUGCAUGUAAGUAUAUGCCUACUUAGAUCUGAGAGUAUGACCGUUGGUGUGUGUUGAUAUAAAAUAUGGAAUACAGAAUAUUGAGAAUGUGUAUAUCGCCACAAUAAACCACAUACUUAAAAUUAUAUAUACAGGUUGCUAAGAAUAUUUCAUCCAUAAAAUAUGUUGUACAAUGUAUACAAUUAAAAGAACAGUGCUCAAAGUACAUAUUUAUGACAAAAGAAAAGCUUAAUACUGUAUUACUUUCCAAUUCGCAGUAGUUGAAUAAUUUUUAAAUCAAACGAACUUCAGUAUAUAAAAAAAAAGAGGGGGACACCCUAACAAAUUCUGUGCUCAUAAUAUAUUACAAUCCAAUUCAAAAUAUAUUGCAUACCUAAACUAGCACACGUAUUACCCUAAAUAGAGAAGCCACUCUACUAAGCAUGAAAUGAACCAUCUUGUAAAGGACCUAAAAAUAUUAAACAAAAAUACAUUCCUAUAACUAUUAAAAA